rnacentral:misc_RNA from 1 species
AGCCCACUCAAGCCCAGCUUGGUAUUGGAUUUCGCCCCCCUUUCCCGGGGAGUGGAUCUCAAAAUCAGCGGCGGCGCAACUGGUCUCCAAGCGUAGUAACAUCACAUCCGCUCUGGCAGAUCCAGGUGACGCCCGCCGGAUAACCCCCCAAAUCAUCAAGGAUUGACCUCGGAUCAGGUAGGGAUACCCGCUGAACUUAA